UACGGAGGGGGCUAGCGUUGUUCGGAGUUAUUGGGCGUAAAGCGUGCGCAGGCGGUUUUGUAAGUCUGGUGUGAAAUCCCCGGGCUUAACCUGGGAACUGCGCUUGUGACUGCAAGACUCGAGUACGGCAGAGGGGGGUAGAAUUCCACGUGUAGCAGUGAAAUGCGUAGAGAUGUGGAGGAAUACCGAUGGCGAAGGCAGCCCCCUGGGUCGAUACUGACGCUCAUGCACGAAAGCGUGGGGAGCAAACAGG
rnacentral:rRNA from 1 species